UUUAAACGCGACUAUGAGUUUCCGUAUUUAAUUUUAAUUGUUUGUUUUAUUUGAAUUUAUGAUUAGUAUUUUUAUUGUUAUUAGAUGAUAAAACAUGAAUAAUACUUUAUACGUGAUUUAUGUAUUUUAGUUUUUUCAAAAAAAUUGAAUAAGAAGAACGAUUAAAAUUGAACAUGUAAAUUUUAUGAUUAUGCUUAAA
rfam:Oryza punctata chromosome 6, whole genome shotgun sequence.